GACGAACGCUGGCGGCGUGCCUAAUACAUGCAAGUAGAACGCACAGUUUAUACCGUAGCUUGCUACACCAUAAACUGUGAGUUGCGAACGGGUGAGUAACGCGUAGGUAACCUGCCUGGUAGCGGGGGAUAACUAUUGGAAACGAUAGCUAAUACCGCAUAAUAUUGAUUAUUGCAUGAUAAUUGAUUGAAAGAUGCUAUUGCAUCACUACCAGAUGGACCUGCGUUGUAUUAGCUAGUAGGUGAGGUAACGGCUCACCUAGGCGACGAUACAUAGCCGACCUGAGAGGGUGAUCGGCCACACUGGGACUGAGACACGGCCCAGACUCCUACGGGAGGCAGCAGUAGGGAAUCUUCGGCAAUGGACGAAAGUCUGACCGAGCAACGCCGCGGGAGUGAAGAAGGUUUUCGGAUCGUAAAGCUCGGUUGUAAGAGAAGAACGGGUGUGAGAGUGGAAAGUUCACACUGUGACGGUAGCUUACCAGAAAGGGACGGCUAACUACGUG
rnacentral:rRNA from 1 species